AUUGAACGCUGGCGGCAGGCCUAACACAUGCAAGUCGAGCGGAUGAAGGGAGCUUGCUCCUGGAUUCAGCGGCGGACGGGUGAGUAAUGCCUAGGAAUCUGCCUGGUAGUGGGGGCUAACGUCCGGAAACGGGCGCUAAUACCGCAUACGUCCUGAGGGAGAAAGUGGGGGAUCUUCGGACCUCACGCUAUCAGAUGAGCCUAGGUCGGAUUAGCUAGUUGGUGGGGUAAAGGCCUACCAAGGCGACGAUCCGUAACUGGUCUGAGAGGAUGAUCAGUCACACUGGAACUGAGACACGGUCCAGUCUCCUACGGGAGGCAGCAGUGGGGAAUAUUGGACAAAGGGCGAAAGCCUGAUCCAGCCAUGCCGCGUGUGUGAAGAAGGUCUUCGGAUUGUAAAGCACUUUAAGUUGGGAGGAAGGGCAGUAAGUUAAUACCUUGCUGUUUUGACGUUACCAACAGAAUAAGCACCGGCUAACUUCGUG
rnacentral:rRNA from 1 species